rnacentral:rRNA from 1 species
CCUACGGGAGGCAGCAGUGGGGAAUAUUGGACAAUGGGCGAAAGCCUGAUCCAGCCAUGCCGCGUGUGUGAAGAAGGCCUUCGGGUUGUAAAGCACUUUCAGUGGGGGAAAAAGCCUUGGGGCUAAUACCCUCGAGGAAGGACAUCACCCACAGAAGAAGCACCGGCUAACUCCGUGCCAGCAGCCGCGGUAAUACGGAGGGUGCGAGCGUUAAUCGGAAUUACUGGGCGUAAAGCGCGCGUAGGCGGUCUGAUAAGCCGGUUGUGAAAGCCCCGGGCUCAACCUGGGAACGGCAUCCGGAACUGUCAGGCUAGAGUGCAGGAGAGGAAGGUAGAAUUCCCGGUGUAGCGGUGAAAUGCGUAGAGAUCGGGAGGAAUACCAGUGGCGAAGGCGGCCUUCUGGACUGACACUGACGCUGAGGUGCGAAAGCGUGGAUAGCAAACAGGAUUAGAUACCCUAGUAGUC